AUUGAACGCUGGCGGCAUGCCUUACACAUGCAAGUCGAACGGUAACGGGCCUUCGGGUGCCGACGAGUGGCGAACGGGUGAGUAAUACAUCGGAACGUGCCCGAUCGUGGGGGAUAACGAGGCGAAAGCUUUGCUAAUACCGCAUACGAUCUACGGAUGAAAGCAGGGGACCGCAAGGCCUUGCGCGGACGGAGCGGCCGAUGACAGAUUAGGUAGUUGGUGGGAUAAAAGCUUACCAAGCCGACGAUCUGUAGCUGGUCUGAGAGGAUGAUCAGCCACACUGGGACUGAGACACGGCCCAGACUCCUACGGGAGGCAGCAGUGGGGAAUUUUGGACAAUGGGCGCAAGCCUGAUCCAGCCAUGCCGCGUGCAGGGUGAAGGCCUUCGGGUUGUAAACUGCUUUUGUACGGAACGAAAAGCCUUCUUUUAAUACAGGAGGGUCAUGACGGUACCGUAAGAAUAAGCACCGGCUAACUACGUG
rnacentral:rRNA from 1 species